rnacentral:lncRNA from 1 species
GGUCGUGGAAGGUCUGCUCCUCCUUGAGGUCUUUCGAUGAUGGAGUUGAUGGUCCCGAUUGGAGGUCGAUCUCCGGGCAGCUCUUCCCUCCUUGGCGGUUCAGGUUGCGGCAGGGUCCUUGGCCGAUCCUCUCUGCCUUCAGGUCGGCGUCGAAUGAACCUAUCGAGCCGAUCUCGUCUGAUGAGCUCCUCGAUCUCAUCCCGGAGCUGAAUGCACUCCUCUGUAUCGUGGCC